rnacentral:rRNA from 1 species
GAUGAACGCUGGCGGCGUGCCUAAUACAUGCAAGUCGAGCGAACAGACGAGGAGCUUGCUCCUUUGACGUUAGCGGCGGACGGGUGAGUAACACGUAGGUAACCUACCUAUAAGACUGGGAUAACUUCGGGAAACCGGAGCUAAUACCGGAUAAUAUUUCGAACCGCAUGGUUCGAUAGUGAAAGAUGGCUUUGCUAUCACUUAUAGAUGGACCUGCGCCGUAUUAGCUAGUUGGUAAGGUAACGGCUUACCAAGGCAACGAUGCGUAGCCGACCUGAGAGGGUGAUCGGCCACACUGGAACUGAGACACGGUCCAGACUCCUACGGGAGGCAGCAGUAGGGAAUCUUCCGCAAUGGGCGAAAGCCUGACGGAGCAACGCCGCGUGAGUGAUGAAGGUCUUCGGAUCGUAAAACUCUGUUAUUAGGGAAGAACAAACGUGUAAGUAACUAUGCACGUCUUGACGGUACCUAAUCAGAAAGCCACGGCUAACUACGUG